AUUGAACGCUGGCGGCAGGCCUAACACAUGCAAGUCGAACGAGUGGCGGACGGGUGCGUAAUGUCUGGGAAACUGCCUGAUGGAGGGGGAUAACUACUGGCAACGGUAGCUAAUACCGCAUACCAUCGGAUGUGCCCAGAUGGGAUUAGCUAGUAGGUGGUGUAAAGGCUCACCUGGGCGACGAGCCCUAGCUGGUCUGAGAGGAUGACCAGCCACAAUGGAACUUAGACACGGUCCAGACUCCUACGUGAGGCAGCAGUGGGGAGUAUUGGCCAAUGGGCGCAAGCCUGAUGCAGCCAUUCCGCGUGUAUGAAGAAGGCCUUCGGGUUGGAAAGUACUUUCAGCGGGGAGGCUUUACCCGCAGAAGAUGCACCGGCUAACUCCGUGCCAGCAGCCGCGGUAAUUC
rnacentral:rRNA from 1 species